GAUGAACGCUAGCGGCAGGCUUAACACAUGCAAGUCGAGGGGUAACAUUGGUGCUUGCAUCAGAUGACGACCGGCGCACGGGUGCGUAACGCGUAUAGAACUUACCUUUUACAGGGGGAUAGCCUUUAGAAAUGAAGAUUAAUAUCCCAUAGUAUUGAGAACUGGCAUCGGUUUUUAAUUAAAGAUUUAUCGGUAAAAGAUGGCUAUGCGUCCUAUUAGCUAGAUGGUAAGGUAAUGGCUUACCAUGGCAACGAUAGGUAGGGGCCCUGAGAGGGGGAUCCCCCACACUGGUACUGAGACACGGACCAGACUCCUACGGGAGGCAGCAGUGAGGAAUAUUGGGCAAUGGAGGCAACUCUGACCCAGCCAUGCCGCGUGCAGGAAGACUGCCCUAUGGGUUGUAAACUGCUUUUAUACAGGAAGAAACACUCGUACGUGUACGAGCUUGACGGUACUGUAAGAAUAAGGACCGGCUAACUCCGUGCCGGC
rnacentral:rRNA from 1 species